rnacentral:rRNA from 1 species
GAGUUUGAUCAUGGCUCAGAUUGAACGCUGGCGGCAGGCCUAACACAUGCAAGUCGAGCGGUAGCACAGAGAGCUUGCUCUCGGGUGACGAGCGGCGGACGGGUGAGUAAUGUCUGGGAAACUGCCUGAUGGAGGGGGAUAACUACUGGAAACGGUAGCUAAUACCGCAUAAUGUCGCAAGACCAAAGUGGGGGACCUUCGGGCCUCAUGCCAUCAGAUGUGCCCAGAUGGGAUUAGCUUGUAGGUGGGGUAACGGCUCACCUAGGCGACGAUCCCUAGCUGGUCUGAGAGGAUGACCAGCCACACUGGAACUGAGACACGGUCCAGACUCCUACGGGAGGCAGCAGUGGGGAAUAUUGCACAAUGGGCGCAAGCCUGAUGCAGCCAUGCCGCGUGUGUGAAGAAGGCCUUCGGGUUGUAAAGCACUUUCAGCGGGGAGGAAGGCGGUGAGGUUAAUAACCUCAUCGAUUGACGUUACCCGCAGAAGAAGCACCGGCUAACUCCGUGCCAGCAGCCGCGGUAAUACGGAGGGUGCAAGCGUUAAUCGGAAUUACUGGGCGUAAAGCGCACGCAGGCGGUCUGUCAAGUCGGAUGUGAAAUCCCCGGGCUCAACCUGGGAACUGCAUUCGAAACUGGCAGGCUAGAGUCUUGUAGAGGGGGGUAGAAUUCCAGGUGUAGCGGUGAAAUGCGUAGAGAUCUGGAGGAAUACCGGUGGCGAAGGCGGCCCCCUGGACAAAGACUGACGCUCAGGUGCGAAAGCGUGGGGAGCAAACAGGAUUAGAUACCCUGGUAGUCCACGCCGUAAACGAUGUCGAUUUGGAGGUUGUGCCCUUGAGGCGUGGCUUCCGGAGCUAACGCGUUAAAUCGACCGCCUGGGGAGUACGGCCGCAAGGUUAAAACUCAAAUGAAUUGACGGGGGCCCGCACAAGCGGUGGAGCAUGUGGUUUAAUUCGAUGCAACGCGAAGAACCUUACCUGGUCUUGACAUCCACAGAACUUAGCAGAGAUGCUUUGGUGCCUUCGGGAACUGUGAGACAGGUGCUGCAUGGCUGUCGUCAGCUCGUGUUGUGAAAUGUUGGGUUAAGUCCCGCAACGAGCGCAACCCUUAUCCUUUGUUGCCAGCGGUCCGGCCGGGAACUCAAAGGAGACUGCCAGUGAUAAACUGGAGGAAGGUGGGGAUGACGUCAAGUCAUCAUGGCCCUUACGACCAGGGCUACACACGUGCUACAAUGGCAUAUACAAAGAGAAGCGACCUCGCGAGAGCAAGCGGACCUCAUAAAGUAUGUCGUAGUCCGGAUUGGAGUCUGCAACUCGACUCCAUGAAGUCGGAAUCGCUAGUAAUCGUAGAUCAGAAUGCUACGGUGAAUACGUUCCCGGGCCUUGUACACACCGCCCGUCACACCAUGGGAGUGGGUUGCAAAAGAAGUAGGUAGCUUAACCUUCGGGAGGGCGCUUACCACUUUGUGAUUCAUGACUGGGGUGAAGUCGUAACAAGGUAACCGUAGGGGAACCUGCGGUUGGAUCACC